rnacentral:misc_RNA from 1 species
GAUGAAGAACGUAGCGAAAUGCGAUAAGUAGUGUGAAUUGCAGAAUUCAGUGAAUCAUCGAAUCUUUGAACGCACAUUGCGCCCCUUGGUAUUCCAUGGGGCAUGCCUGUUCGAGCGUCAUUUGUACCUUCAAGCUCUGCUUGGUGUUGGGUGUUUGUCUCGCCUCUGCGUUUAGACUCGCCUCAAAACAAUUGGCAGCCGGCGUAUUGAUUUCGGAGCGCAGUACAUCUCGCGCUUUGCACUCAUAACGACGACGUCCAAAAGUACAUUUUUACACUCUUGACCUCGGAUCAGGUAGGGAUACCCGCUGAACUUAAGCAUAUCAAUAAGCGGAGGA